GUAGAAAGAGAAAGAAGGAAGGAAGAGAAAGAAAGAGAGAGAAGGAAAGGAAGAAAGAGAAAGAAAGGAAAAGAGAAGGAAGGAAGGAAGAAAAGGAAGGAAGGAAGGGAAAGAAAGAAAGAAAGAAAGAAAGAAAAAGAAAGAAAGAAAGAAAGAAAGAAGAAUUCCCCCAGGAAUUAAGAAUUAUCUAGCUGGAUUCUGGAAACUCAAUGUUAUGGCUGUUCUGAGCUCAACUCCCCUUCCUUAAAAGACACGUGGAGUGAUUCAUGGCCAGUGAAUCAGAUUCCAGGGAAGAGCGAAUUCCUUGAUUGUAUUGUAUUCCCACUUGUUUCCCCUAAAUAUGCAAAGUCAUCCUUUCUCACUGUGUCCAGUAGCUCCCACCCCAACCUCCGUGAUGAUCAAGAAUCAUGCAAGUUCUGAGGGAUUUACUCCUUUCUAUAUAAGGCAAAAGGGGAUGCGGUGGCUCAGGGGCUAAGACAGCUGAGCUUGUCGUUCGAAUCCCUAGCGCUGCCGCGUAACGGGGUGAGCUCCCGUGACUUGUCCCAGUUUCUACCAACCUAGCAGUUCGAAAGCACGUAAAAAAAUGCAAGUAGAAAAAAUAGGGACCACCUUUGGUAGGAAGGGAACAGCGUUCCGUGCGCCUUUGGCGUUGAGUCAUGCUGGCCACAUGACCACGGAGACGUCUUCGGACAGCGCUGGCUCUUCGGCUUUGAAACGGAGAUGAGCGGCGCCCCCUAGAGUCGGGAACGACUAACACGUAUGUGCGAGGGGAACCUUUGCCUUUACCUAUAUAAGGCAAUUUCUCAGUCCAACCCCCCCUUUUAACUACUUGUGAUAGAAGGAAUGGCAGAGGCAGUGGGAGGGGUAAAAAUGUGUGAUAGAGGGAGUCCUUUGCUUACAACCGUUCGUUUAAUGGCCGUUUGAAAUGACAAUGGAACUGGGGGGGGGAAAAGGACGGCCGUUUUUCACCCCUAUGAUCAACGCAGCAUCUCCAUGCUCCCACGAUCCAAAUUCAGAUGCUUGACAACUGGUUCUUAUUUAUGACAGUUGUAAUGCUCCGGGGUCAUGGGACUGCCCUUUGUUUGGCUUCUGACAAGUCAAUGAGGGAAGCCGGAUUCAUUCAAUGACCACCCGAUUCACUUAACAACCGGAGCAAUGGGCUUAACAACGGUGGCAAGAAAGGUCAUAAAAUGAGACAAAGCUCACUUAGCAGCUGUCAUGCUUAGCCAUGAAAAUGUUCGGCUCGCUUGUGGCCGUACGUCAAGGACAAGGAAGGAAAGGAGGAAGAAAGGAAGGAAGAGGAAGAGAGGGAAAGGAAGGAAAGAAGUAAGGAAGAAAAAGGAAGAAUGGAGAGAGGAAGAAAAGAAGGGUGGGAGGAAGGAAGGAAGAGAAAGAAAAGAAAGAAAGAAAAAGAAAGGAAGGAAGGAAGAGAAAGAAAAAAGAAAGAGAAAGGAAAGAAAGAAAAAUAAGGAAGGAAGAGAAAUAAAGAGGAAAGAAGGAAGGAAGGAAAGAAGGGAGAGAGUGGAAGGAAGGAAGAGAAAGAAAGAAAAAGAAAGGAAGGAAGGAAAGAAAGAAAGAAGAAAGGAAGAGUGGAAGGAAAGAAGAGGAAGAAAAAAAAAGAAGGAAGGAAGGAAGGAAGGAAGGAAGGAAGGAAGGAAGGAAGAAAAAGGAAGAAUGGAGAGAGGAAGAAAAGAAGGGUGGGAGGAAGGAAGGAAGAGAAAGAAAAGAAAGAAAGAAAAAGGAAGGAAGGAAGGAAGAGAAAGAAAAAAAGAAAGAGAAAGGAAAGAAAGAAAAAUAAGGAAGGAAGGAAGAGAAAUAAAGAGGAAAGAAGGAAGGAAGAGAAAGAAAAAAAGAGAAAGGAAAGAAAAAAAUAAGGAAGGAAGAGAAAUAAAGAGGAAAGAAGGAAGAAAGGAAAGAAGGGAGAGAGUGGAAGGAAGGAAGAGAAAGAAAGAAAAAGGAAGGAAGGAAGGAA